rnacentral:rRNA from 1 species
UUUCUGCCGCCGGCGACCGGCGCACGGGUGAGUAACACGUAUGCAACCUGGCCGUGACAGAUGGAUAACCGGGAGAAAUCCCGCCUAAUACAACAUAAUGCCGGGAGGGGACAUCCCCUGCCGGCCAAAGGGGGCGACCCCGGUCACGGAUGGGCAUGCGGCGCAUUAGGUAGUUGGUGGGGCAACGGCCCACCAAGCCGACGACGCGUAGGGGUUCUGAGAGGAAGGUCCCCCACAUUGGAACUGAGACACGGUCCAAACUCCUACGGGAGGCAGCAG